UACGGGGGGAGCAAGCGUUGUUCGGAAUUACUGGGCGUAAAGGGCGCGUAGGCGGCCUUCUAAGUCGAACGUGAAAUCCCUGGGCUCAACCCAGGAACUGCGUCCGAUACUGGAAGGCUUGAAUCCGGGAGAGGGAUGCGGAAUUCCAGGUGUAGCGGUGAAAUGCGUAGAUAUCUGGAGGAACACCGGUGGCGAAGGCGGCAUCCUGGACCGGCAUUGACGCUGAGGCGCGAAAGCCAGGGGAGCAAACGGG
rnacentral:rRNA from 1 species